rnacentral:rRNA from 1 species
AUUGAACGCUGGCGGCAGGCCUAACACAUGCAAGUCGAACGAGUGGCGGACGGGUGAGUAAUGUCUGGGAAACUGCCUGAUGGAGGGGGAUAACUACUGGAAACGGUAGCUAAUACCGCAUACCAUCGGAUGUGCCCAGAUGGGAUUAGCUAGUGGGUGGGGUAACGGCUCACCUAGGCGACGAUCCCUAGCGGGUCUGAGAGGAGGACCAGCCACACGGGAACGAGGACACGGGCCAGACUCCUACGGGAGGCAGCGGUGGGAAAUAUUGCACAAGGGGCGCAAGCCUGAUGCAGCCAGGCCGCGUGUAUGAAGAGGGCCUUCGGGUUGUAAAGCACUUUCGGCGGGGAGGCGUUACCCGCAGAAGAAGCACCGGCUAACUCCGUGCCAGCAGCGCGGUAAUAC